rnacentral:rRNA from 1 species
UACGGAGGGUGCGAGCGUUGUCCGGAAUCACUGGGCGUAAAGGGCGCGUAGGCGGCCUGAUAAGUAGGGGGUGAAAUCCUGCGGCUUAACCGCAGGGCUGCCUUCUAAACUGUCAGGCUAGAGCACGGUAGAGGCAGAUGGAAUUCCCGGUGUAGCGGUGGAAUGCGUAGAGAUCGGGAAGAACAUCAGUGGCGAAGGCGGUUCUCUGGGCAUGUCCUGACGCUGAGGAGCGAAAGUGUGGGGAGCGAACAGG